UUCGGGGGACGAUAACGGCGUCGAGCGGCGGACGGGUGAGUAAUGCCUAGGAAAUUGCCCUGAUGUGGGGGAUAACCAUUGGAAACGAUGGCUAAUACCGCAUGAUGCCUACGGGCCAAAGAGGGGGACCUUCGGGCCUCUCGCGUCAGGAUAUGCCUAGGUGGGAUUAGCUAGUUGGUGAGGUAAGGGCUCACCAAGGCGACGAUCCCUAGCUGGUCUGAGAGGAUGAUCAGCCACACUGGAACUGAGACACGGUCCAGACUCCUACGGGAGGCAGCAGUGGGGAAUAUUGCACAAUGGGCGCAAGCCUGAUGCAGCCAUGCCGCGUGUAUGAAGAAGGCCUUCGGGUUGUAAAGUACUUUCAGUCGUGAGGAAGGUGGUAGUGUUAAUAGCGCUAUCAUUUGACGUUAGCGACAGAAGAAGCACCGGCUAACUCCGUGCCAGCAGCCGCGGUAAUACGGAGGGUGCGAGCGUUAAUCGGAAUUACUGGGCGUAAAGCGCAUGCAGGUGGUUUGUUAAGUCAGAUGUGAAAGCCCGGGGCUCAACCUCGGAAUAGCAUUUGAAACUGGCAGACUAGAGUACUGUAGAGGGGGGUAGAAUUUCAGGUGUAGCGGUGAAAUGCGUAGAGAUCUGAAGGAAUACCGGUGGC
rnacentral:rRNA from 1 species